ensembl:lncRNA
UGAUGAUCCCUGGUCUAGGGGACUACUACUUCCUCCCUGUCUGAAUCUAGUUGAUGAUCUCUGGUCUAGGGGACUACUACUUCCUCCCUGUCUGAAUCUAGUUGAUGAUCUCUGGUCUAGGGGACUACUACUUCCUCCCUGUCUGAAUCUAGUUGAUGAUCCCUGGUCUAGGGGACUACUACUUCCUCCCUGUCUGAAUCUAGUUGAUGAUCCCUGGUCUAGGGGACUACUACUUCCUCCCUGUCUGAAUCUAGUUGAUGAUCCCUGGUCUAGGGGACUACUACUUCCUCCCUGUCUGAAUCUAGUUGAUGAUCCCUGGUCUAGGGGACUACUACUUCCUCCCUGUCUGAAUCUAGUUGAUGAUCCCUGGUCUAGGAGACUACUUCCUUCCUGUCUGCUGUAACUGUGCCAAAAAUGGUCUGUCCCAAAUACCACCCUAUUCCCUAUAGUGUACUACUAAUGACCAGGGCCCUUGUAUAUAGGGUAUAGGGUGCCAUUUUGGACAGGUAUAGUCUCUGUGAAGCUUUAUAGUGGUGGUGAUAGUAUUUUUUCCCCCAUGUGACAGGUAGGCCUACAUUUACUGAGGCACAGCCUAGGCUACAGUAAUAUAAAGACUGAAUAAGCGUCUAAUUUACCCAUCUCUAGCUGGCUUUCAGGGGCACCUUGUUUUUUAAUUGUAAAGAUUUGUAAUUUGUAUUGCGGCUGCAGAGUUUUAAAACCACUUGUCACUCGAAUAUCGUUGCUUUAAAUCAACGAAAUAUUACGAAAGGUACGCCUGUUAAUUAUACGUAAGGCCCUAUUAUAUUACCAAAGUUAGAAUAAAAUCAGCUCGCCUCUAUACUAUAUAUAUAUAUAUAUAUAUAUAUAUAUACUAGCUGCAUGUCUCUUCCAACUGUAUCAUGGUUUGAACAAUGUGAGUAAUUCCAGUCCAUAUAAUAUACAUAUAUAAUAAUAUAUAAUAUAAUAUACAGUAUAAUACAGUACAGUAUAAUACAGUACAGUCAUACAGUUCACACUCCUAUUAUAUUACCAAAGUUAGAAUAAAAUCAGCUCGUCUCUACUAGCUGCAUGUCUCUUCCAACUGUAUCAUGGUUUGAACAAUGUGAGUAAUUCCAGUCCAUAUAAUAUACAGUAUAGUAAUACAUAAUACAGUAAUACAGUACAUCAGUAUACAGUAGUACAGUAAUACAGUAUAAUACAGUACAGUAUACAGUACAGUAGUACAGUAUAAUACAGUAGUACAGUAUAAUACAGUAUAAUACAGUACAGUAGUACAGUAGUACAGUAAUACAGUACAGUAGUACAGUAUAAUACAGUACAGUCAUACAGUUCACACUCAACAAGCCUCCUGGAGCGAGUUUCAUUUAUUUACCCAACAGAGGACAUAGCUAGCUACAUCUAUGGGCUUUUCUGUUUUUCUGUCGCGCAGUAGCCUAUAUCAUAUAUGUAUUGGAUAACAGCACAAUAUUUUUGACUUUUUUGGGGCUUGGGCUCAUUAAAUAUCUUUUAAUGUAGGGCUCAUUAAAUGUCUUUAAUGUAGGGCUCAUUAAAUAUCUUUUAAUGUAGGGCUCAGUAAAUGUCUUUAAUGUAGGGCUCAUUAAAUGUCUUUAAUGUAGGGCUCAGUAAAUGUCUUUAAUGUAGGGCUCAUCAGGCUUGAAAUGUUUUAAUCAAAGCUCUAAUCAAAUCCAGACAGGCCUGUUUUUAUGCUCUGUAAUGCUUUUGAAGGACCGUUCCAGUUUGGACUGGAAAUACCAGUUUAGUCGGUAGGAAAGUGAUUUAUUCUCAGGAAGGAACAUUUAGUAAAAUACUGUGAAAAUAUUCACCCGUGAGCCAGAUGCCAGCAUUAGUUUGAAAGGCCUCCUGUGUAUUUUACUGGUUAGGUAGUAAAAUAUGAAGUCUAGUCGUUCUGCCACUGGUCGUUAUUACAGUCAAGAGCCAACUUUUAUUUGCUGUUUUCAUUUCUCAGAGGAAAGGUGAAGAUGUGUAAUGAAAAGGAGAGGAACUUUUCUUUCCCUCAGAACAAGACUAGAAUGGGGUGAGAUGGAUGUGUGUCUUUGGGGAGUUUCGUGAUAAUAAUCAGUGAUUGUUGUUAUUGAUCCUGAUAUGUACAUAUUGUUGUUGACAAGCUUGUUUGCACUGAAUCAGGACAUAUUGAAGGUACAGGGAAGUGCCUUUAGGAAUGAUCAAACUGUCUCUUCUACAGCUCUGUUUUAAAUCUGUUCUAGAAUGAUAGUUUCAGAACACCUCUAGAACAGCUCAGUUUUAACUCUGUUCUAGAAUGAUAGUUUCAGAACACCUCUAGAACAGCUCAGUUUUAACUCUGUUCUAGAAUUAUAGUUUCAGAACAC